GAUGAACGCUGGCGGCGUGCCUAAUACAUGCAAUUCGAGCGAACAGACGAGGAGCUUGCUCCUCUGACGUUAGCGGCGGACGGGGGAGUAACACGUGGAUAACCUACCUAUAAGACUGGGAUAACUUCGGGAAACCGGAGCUAAUACCGGACAAUAUAUUGAACCGCAUGGUUCAAUAGUGAAAGACGGUUUUGCUGUCACUUAUAGAUGGAUCCGCGCCGCAUUAGCUAGUUGGUAAGGUAACGGCUUACCAAGGCAACGAUGCGUAGCCGACCUGAGAGGGCGAUCGGCCACACUGGAACUGAGACACGGUCCAGACUCCUACGGGAGGCAGCAGUAGGGAAUCUUCCGCAAUGGGCGAAAGCCUGACGGAGCAACGCCGCGUGAGUGAUGAAGGUCUUCGGAUCGUAAAACUCUGUUAUUAGGGAAGAACAAAUGUGUAAGUAACUAUGCACGUCUUGACGGUACCUAAUCAGAAAGCCACGGCUAACUACGUG
rnacentral:rRNA from 1 species